UGCGCCGCAGGGUAGCGCUCCCAGCGGUCACCUCACCCUGCCCAGGACCCCAGACCAGGGGACCCACUUCGCAACUUUGUUCUUCCUGCUCCCUUUCUUCCCCUCUCUCUGCAACAACAACUCGCUCCUAAGUAUCCUUGGGGAGAGUGGAGCUUCAUCCCCUUGUCAGAUGCCGCACUUAUUUCUUCUCCAGCUUGCUCAGACUAGCCCACUGGGUCUCAGACUUGGCUGCACACUGGAGUUACCUGGAUCUUUUUUCUCUUUCUCUUUUUUAAAUGGUGAUAUUCCCCAGAGUCUAAUUUAAUUGGCCUGGCUGUGGCCUGGGAAUCAGGAUAUUUAAAAGCUCCCAAGGUGAUUCUAG
rnacentral:lncRNA from 1 species